rnacentral:tRNA from 1 species
GCCAUCUUAGCUCAGCUGGUAGAGCAACGCAUUCGUAAUGCGUAGGUCGCCGGUUCGAUCCCGGCAGAUGGCUCCA